rnacentral:rRNA from 1 species
UGGUGGAGUGAUUUGUCUGGUUAAUUCCGUUAACGAACGAGACCUCGACCUGCUAAAUAGUUCGGCGAACUUUUCUGGGUUCGUUCGCGACUUCUUAGAGGGACUAUCGGUUUGUAGCCGAUGGAAGUUCGAGGCAAUAACA